UUGAUCCUGGCUCAGAACGAACGCUGGCGGCGCGUUUAAGCAUGCAAGUCGAGGGGUAGAAAGUCUUCGGACUUUUGAGACCGGCGAACGGGUGAGUAACACGUAGAUAAUCUGUCUCUGGAUGGGGGAUAGCCCAUGGAAACAUGGGGUAAUACCGCAUAAGCUCUCUUUUUCAUAAGGAGGAGAGAGGAAAGGCGCUUAGGGGUCGUCCGGAGAGGAGUCUGCGGUUCAUUAGUUAGUUGGUGGGGUAAAGGCCUACCAAGGCGACGAUGAAUAGCCGGCCUGAGAGGGUGAACGGCCACACUGGGACUGAGACACGGCCCAGACUCCUACGGGAGGCAGCAGCUAAGAAUCUUCCGCAAUGGGCGAAAGCCUGACGGAGCGACGCCGCGUGAACGAAGAAGGCCUAACGGUUGUAAAGUUCUUUUCUUGGGGAGGAAUAAGCCUUGCAGGGAAUGGCAGGGUGAUGACGUUAACCGAGGAAAAAGCCCCGGCUAAUUACGUGCCAGCAGCCGCGGUAACACGUAAGGGGCGAGCGUUGUUCGGAAUUAUUGGGCGUAAAGGGCGCGUAGGCGGCAUAGCAAGUCAGGUGUGAAAGAUCUCAGCUCAACUGAGGAAACGCGCUUGAAACUGCUGUGCUGGAGUCUAGGAGGGGAAGCUGGAAUUCCUAGUGUAGGGGUGAAAUCUGUAGAUAUUAGGAAGAACACCGGUGGCGAAGGCGAGCUUCUGGCCAUAGACUGACGCUGAGGCGCGAAAGCGUGGGGAGCGAACAGGAUUAGAUACCCUGGUAGUCCACGCCGUAAACGAUGUGCACUGGGUGUCGGCCCGUUGGGGUCGGUGCCGAAGCUAACGCGAUAAGUGCACCGNCUGGGGAGUAUGCUCGCAAGGGUGAAACUCAAAAGAAUUGACGGGGGCCCGCACAAGCGGUGGAGCAUGUGGUUUAAUUCGAUGAUACGCGAGAAA
rnacentral:rRNA from 1 species